GGGUAACGGCCUACCAAGGCGACGAUGCGUAGCCGACCUGAGAGGGUGGACGGCCACAUUGGGACUGAGACACGGCCCAAACUCCUACGGGAGGCAGCAGUGGGGAAUAUUGCACAAUGGGGGAAACCCUGAUGCAGCGACGCCGCGUGAGCGAAGAAGUAUUUCGGUAUGUAAAGCUCUAUCAGCAGGGAAGAAGAAAGACGGUACCUGACUAAGAAGCCCCGGCUAACUAC
rnacentral:rRNA from 1 species